UACAGAGGGGGCAAGCGUUAUUCGGAAUUAUUGGGCGUAAAGGGCGCGUAGGCGGCUUUGCAAGUGACGGGUGAAAUCCCUCGGCUCACCCGAGGACCGGCAUCUCAUACUGCUUGGCUUGAGUACGGGAGAGGAUGUGGGAAUUCCUGGUGUAGCGGUGAAAUGCGUAGAGAUGUGGAGGAACACCGGUGGCGAAGGCGGCAUCCUGGACCGGCAUUGACGCUGAGGCGCGAAAGCUAGGGGAGCAAACGGG
rnacentral:rRNA from 1 species